AAUCAACGCUGGCGGCGUGCCUAACACAUGCAAGUCGAACGCGAAAGGGGCUUCGGUCCUGAGUAGAGUGGCGUCCGGGUGAGUAACGCGUGGGUAAUCUACCCUUGGGUGGGAAUAACCAGUCGAAAGAUUGGCUAAUACCGCAUAAUGCAGCGGCUCGACAUCGAGACAGUUGUUAAAGCAGCAAUGCGCCAGAGGAGGAGCCUGCGUCUGAUUAGCUUGUUGGCGGGGUAACGGCCCACCAAGGCUACGAUCAGUAGCUGGUCUGAGAGGACGGCCAGCCACAAUGGCACUGAACACGGGCCAUACUCCUACGGGAGGCAGCAGUGGGGAAUUUUGCGCAAUGGGCGAAGCCUGACGCAGCAACGCCGCGUGAAGGAUGAAAUCCUUCGGGAU
rnacentral:rRNA from 1 species